rnacentral:lncRNA from 10 species
GGUUUAAGCACAGAGACCUCAGAGGCCACUGGGCCAUUUGCCCAGGGAUGUCCAGCCAGCGGCUUAGGGUGGCAGAGAUUCCUGGAAGACCGCCCCUCCCUGCACCCCAGGAACGCCUCCCUUUGCCGGGCAGCCCCUGCCCUGGAGUGAGUAUUGUUUUGCUCCUUUGGCAGAACUUCCUGGAUCAAGUUAAGAAAGUUCGUCUGGCUGCCAGAAGGUUUCUUGUGUGGAUUUAUUGAGCCCCCACUGAGCAGAGGCGUCGAGGCUAAAUAAAUCAGCACCAUUUCGUAUAUGGUUAUGAGAUUUGACCAAGAGGGACAGUAUACUGUGGACAGUGAUCACAUCUGAUUGCUCACUGCACGAUUCCCUGAAGCACCUUGAACAGCAUCCAGCAUUUAGUGGGUGUCCAGUAAACAUCUGCUAAAUGGAACAUAUGAACAAAUAAAUAUAGGCUCAAGAAGAUAAAGGGGUCCUUGAAAUUUAAUCCAUUUUAUUUUCUGCUCCAUCAAGUGUCUUUGGGGAGCAGAGAGCAGGGAACGAGAUUCUGCAUCUACAGAUUUCUCAUAUCAUCGACUUUCUGUGCACAUGUGUGUUCUCAUGGGUUAUUGUUACACGAGCCUUCUGUUUCUUUAAGACUGGAAUCUUCUGGUGUGUUGUUGAAAGGAAGGGCUGUGUGGAAGCUACAUGGGAAGGAGCAUCCCCCCCUUCUUUGAAUGAUAAAAGGGUCACUUUAAUUGAAAUAGAGUCAUAACUUGUUGCCAGAUUUAAGCAUAAGACCUCUCAUAUGUCAAAACCUUAGAGCGGAGAGAUUACAUAUACGGGCAGCACAUAUAUAAAUGUAUGGAUAAUUUAUGCAAUAUUUCUCCUAUUCACGCUCUCUACUUAAGCUAUCCAUUAAAGCCCAUCACAUUAAUUUAAUUGAAAAAUUCUGGGGGAAUUGUAUUAGCUUUUUUCCCAUUAAAUUAACAUUACAGCCUUUAAAGAGAUGUCCUGGAUGACCAUUGUUGCUAACAAAAUUAUUAUGCAAAUUGAAAUCUGGCCUUUCUGGGU